CUCCCAUGUGGCCGGAACAGCGUGACUCAGAUCCCGAGGUCCACUUCCUGGAUAUUGAAGAGGACCAUUUCGUGGUGUCAACAUGUAGGUCUGCCCUUGGAGUGCCAUGCAGUCAUCUAUCAUGUCCAAAUAUGUGCCAUUUUAGAAGACGAUGGUGCCAAGUCCCAAGAGUUGGAUUGAAGGAAACCCAAAGAAGCAAGAUUAAACCCGGGAAUGUCAAGAGGGUGCCUUGGACCUGCCUCUGAAUGUCAAGAUCAGGACAAUGCUCUUCUGCAACCCAGCUGAGUUGCAGUUGUCAAUGAAUGGAUGAAAGAAUGAUUACAUAGGCCAAAAAGUUAUCUGCGAUCCUGGGGACUGGGGCAGUGAG